rnacentral:snoRNA from 1 species
AUCUACAUGAUGAAUAAGUUUCUACGAAUCACGACGGUCUUCUGACGUAAUUAAUGGAGAGGGUAGAACGUUCUGAUCAU